ACUGUUCACCACCUGCUCAGCACCAACCAGCAGACAGACUCAGUUAGAGACUAACUGGUGAACAUAGUGGAGCAUUUAGCAGUUAAAGAGACAGAUAUUUCCCUCAGGAGCUGGUGGAGACCAAAAACAGAGCUAAAUUGGUGAUGAUACGUUGAGGUUGAUUGUUUCACGGUCUCUAAGUGUAAUGUGUCAUUCUGUGUUCUGUUGUUUUGCUUGUGUUUGUGUGUCUGUUCUAUGUCUUUGUGUUCUAGGUGCAGCUCCCUGAUGAUUGAUUGAGAGCACCUGUGUGACACAAGACACAGCUUUUUGUGUUCCCCUAUUUUAUGCUUUUUGUUGUCCUGUUGCAUCUUUAUGUAGCGGCUUUCGAGCCAGUUGUAACAUAAUUGGGGGCUUGUCCGGGAUUUUUCAUUUCAUUAACGUUUAAGUAUAUAACCAGCCAUUUCCACUCAUUCCCGGCCAGAUCCCCCCAUCAUCAUGUUGCUUUUGAAACCUGGAACCUGUAGGCUACAUGAACCCUAACCUGCCCCUGCCUGUACUCAUACCCAACCC